CACGUAGGGGGCGAGCGUUGUCCGGAUUUAUUGGGCGUAAAGAGCUCGUAGGCGGUUCGGCAAGUCGGGUGUGAAAUUUCGAGGCUCAACCUCGAAACGCCACUCGAUACUGCUGUGACUGGAGUCCGGUAGAGGAGUGCGGAAUUCCUGGUGUAGCGGUGAAAUGCGCAGAUAUCAGGAGGAACACCAACGGCGAAGGCAGCACGCUGGGCCGGUACUGACGCUGAGGAGCGAAAGCGUGGGGAGCAAACAGG
rnacentral:rRNA from 1 species